rnacentral:miRNA from 1 species
CCCCCCGCAGUCCCUCCGCUUCGUC